rnacentral:rRNA from 1 species
CAGCAGCAGCCACGGUAAAACGUAGGUGGCAAGCGUUGUCCGGAAUUAUUGGGCGUAAAGGGCUCGCAGGCGGUUUCUUAAGUCUGAUGUGAAAGCCCCCGGCUCAACCGGGGAGGGUCAUUGGAAACUGGGAAACUUGAGUGCGGAAGAGGAGAGUGGAAUUCCACGUGUAGCGGUGAAAUGCGUAGAGAUGUGGAGGAACACCAGUGGCGAAGGCGACUCUCUGGUCUGUAACUGACGCUGAGGAGCGAAAGCGUGGGGAGCGAACAGGAUUAGAUACCCGUGUAGUCCCUGUCUCUUAUAC